rnacentral:misc_RNA from 1 species
ACGUCUUCAUCCAUGACUGCAUCAAGGACUACGUCAAUAAGAAUGAUGAUGACACUGACGAUGAAGAGGAAGAAGAAGAAAAGCAGGAGGAUCAAUCUAUAUACAUGAAUGUAUAGUGCAAUUAUGGGAACACUAACUAUACAACAAGAAAACCGGUGUGACAUGCGUUGAAUACCAGUGGAAUCAGCUUUUCGGUGUUUAAAGCCAGAGGAUGCUUUAGAAACAUUUUCAUUUUUUUUUUAAUUUUAAAAAUUUAAUUGUUUUUUUAUUUGUAACUUGCAAUACGUAUGUACUGUUGAAUCAUAUUCUACUGACUCAUAAUUUGUUUAAUGGUAUUGCAUUUCAUUCUUAUUCUUUAAAUAAAUUAAGGAGGCUGGUUGUUCACGAAAUUAUCCAUCAGAUCUACCUUAAAAGGUUUAGAGAAUUAUUUUAUCAGCCGUAAACUUUUAUUCAGGGCAGAAAACUUCCUAAAAUCUUAGCUUUAAAAGAUUUCCUUCCUCUUUUCACAAAUUUCUCCUAUUAAAGGAGAUUAGUAGAGUUUAGAAAUGACCACGUCAUUCCAGCCACCUUAAAAACUGUGACUGUAAAACAUUUUUGUUUCUUUUUUGUAUAAAUUUGGUGCUUGACAAUGAUGUUAUGUCGUUUUCAAUAUUUUUUUGUUUAGGAAAAUAAUUGCUAAGUUUUGUUAAAAAACUUCGCCGAUUUACCGAAAAAAAAAACCACCAUCCCAGACAUUUAUAGCAAUAGUUUAAAAUUUUAUUAAUCAGACUUUGUUUUUUUUUCUUCUGUUCUGAAUUUCUUUAUAAAAAUGAUUUGUAUAUAAUAGUUCUUGGUUAUCAUUUUGUCACCAAUUAAAUAAGUUUCAUUUCAUUU